CGGAGUCGGCAGCUCGGACGCGUGCAGGCGGCUUAAAAAACGCGCGAACUGCGAGCAUCAUAUGCCAACUUCGAUAAGUUGCAGAGACGUAAAUAAAGCGCAAUGGGAGAAAGCCCGAUGCGGAAUUGUGUCAACAGCAAUCGCCAUCCCAAUCCGCCAGUCACGAGUGCACUCGGCGCACUCCACGUACGGCCAUAAUCUUAAAUUUAAAUAUAUAUAGCAGUGCGGCGCCUCCUCGAGUCCGCUCAUAACGAUGUGGCAAUAGCUCUCCUCCUGAUUAAAGACCAGUGGACUUGGACAUACACACGUGUGUGCACAUACGCUCGGCUUAAAGCACUGGAUGCCUGGCAACGGCUGUCGCAAAGGAUUCAUAUCGUUUCGUUUCGUUUCGUUUACUCUUGCUGCCUGCUAGCCCCAAUAUUACGCAUACGACGGGUGGGACGGAUGGACAGGAUGGACGGGCUGCAUGGUCUGGAUCGGUGGAUGGGUGGCGGGGUGGAGCGGGUGCGAAGUGUCAACCACUUGCAACUUUUGACGUUAUAUUUUUGUUGGUUUUCAAUUAAAAAGUUUGCCUUAUCCUGCUUUUGUUGCAGCACCCAACUGGCCUCCUCGGCUGCAGUUCGUCCCUUUGGCCGGAUUUCAUUGUUCGGAUGCUUCUGACAGCCUUCUGACAGCCUGUAUGCAACACAUUUCAGCCAAAUGGAAAUCGCAGACAAUUGCCAUUGACGUGGGCAAACCAUUUAGGCACGUUUUAUUAUCCUGGCGCACUUCCAAGCGUAAUUGAUUGAUUGAUGGAUGGAUGCAUGGAUGGACCAGGAACCAGCACACAUGUGGAUGUGGGGCGGGGGUGGCCCGCCCUCCGCCAAACACAUCCAACAGGACAUCGAGCCAAUGGGCGAUAUUAAAGCAACGUCCUUCUGCCAAAAGUCCCGGCAACUUAGCACAUUUAAUCUUUAAUUAAGAGCAGCAAGGACGAACGUUAUCUGACCCUCUUUGGGGCAGUCGACCGCCCUGCCGGCUUAAAUGAUGCGUUAAGAUGACUCCGAUGAAGGAUCACGAAAGUGGCUUGCGGCUUUCGGGGUUUCUGUGGCCCGUUGGCCGCAAAAGGACUUUAAGGCCAAACACUGGGCCGCCAAAAGGACACGAAUCCCGAGGCACUGGAGGGCAGGACAUGGCAGGCCAAAGGCAAAUGGUAAAUGGCAAACGGCAAAUGGCAGAGUAAACCUCCCAUCCACAUAAUUCGCAAAGGCAUUGCAAAUGAAUUAAAUUACUCAGAAGUGCGAAAUAAUGGCCGGCAGCCCAAAGAGUUGCGUUGCCAAGAGCCAUGCAAAUGGCCAGUCGGCCGGUGGGGCAAGGAUUCCAGGACUCCAGCUCCAAGGGGAGCAGGCGCUAGCUAAGGCAGGGAGAUUCUCGAAAAGACGAAUUCCUAUUAAAAUUCAAUUGCCUGUAAAUGAAAUGAUGUCGUGACGAA
rnacentral:sRNA from 1 species